rnacentral:rRNA from 1 species
AGUCGAGCGAAGUCUUCGGACUUAGCGGCGGACGGGUGAGUAACGCGUGGGAACAUACCCUUUGGUACGGAGUAGCCUCGGGAAACUGGGAGUAAUACCGUAUGUGCCCUUCGGGGGAAAGAUUUAUCGCCAAAGGAUUGGCCCGCGUUGGAUUAGGUAGUUGGUGGGGUAAUGGCCUACCAAGCCGACGAUCCAUAGCUGGUUUGAGAGGAUGAUCAGCCACACUGGGACUGAGACACGGCCCAAACUCCUACGGGAGGCAGCAGUGGGGAAUUCUUUAACAAUGGGGGCAAGCUUGAUCUACCCAUGCCGCGGGAUCGAUAAAGGCCUUAGGGUUGAAAAAAUCUUUCUUUUGGGAAAAUAAUGGCGGCCCCAACAGAAAAAACCCCCG